AGUGAACGCUGGCGGUAGGCCUAACACAUGCAAGUCGAACGGCCGCACAGUAAGAGCUUGCUCUUACGGGUGGCGAGUGGCGGACGGGUGAGGAAUACAUCGGAAUCUACUUUUUCGUGGGGGAUAACGUAGGGAAACUUACGCUAAUACCGCAUACGACCUACGGGUGAAAGCAGGGGAUCUUCGGACCUUGCGCGAUUGAAUGAGCCGAUGUCGGAUUGGCUAGUUGGCGGGGUAAAGGCCCACCAAGGCGACGAUCCGUAGCUGGUCUGAGAGGAUGAUCAGCCACACUGGAACUGAGACACGGUCCAGACUCCUACGGGAGGCAGCAGUGGGGAAUAUUGGACAAUGGGCGCAAGCCUGAUCCAGCCAUACCGCGUGGGUGAAGAAGGCCUUCGGGUUGUAAAGCCCUUUUGUUGGGAAAGAAAAGCAGCAGGUUAAUACCCCGCUGUUCUGACGGUACCCAAAGAAUAAGCACCGGCUAACUUCGUG
rnacentral:rRNA from 1 species